rnacentral:tRNA from 1 species
GCCGCCAUAGCUCAAUUGGCAGAGCGCCGCCCAUUUAAGGCGGGACAACGUUGGUGACACCAUGGGAACAUCACUGCACAGCCAACCACUGCGCACAUCCAUUCCGUGGGUGCUGGUUCAAAUCCAGCUGGCGGCUCA